ensembl:miRNA MIR139 microRNA 139
UACUCUACAGUGCACGUGUCUCCAGUGUGGCUCCGAGGCUGGAGACGCGGCCCUGUUGGAGUA